GACGAACGCUGGCGGCGUGCUUAACACAUGCAAGUCGAACGGUAAGGCCCUUCGGGGUACACGAGUGGCGAACGGGUGAGUAACACGUGGGUGAUCUGCCCUGCACUUCGGGAUAAGCCUGGGAAACUGGGUCUCAUACCGGAUAGGACCACUGCCUGCAUGGGUGGUGGUGGAAAGCUUUUGCGGUGUGGGAUGGGCCCGCGGCCUAUCAGCUUGUUGGUGGGGUGAUGGCCUACCAAGGCGACGACGGGGAGCCGGCCUGAGAGGGUGACCGGCCACACUGGGACUGGGAUACGGCCCAGACUCCUACGGGAGGCAGCAGUGGGGAAUAUUGCACAAUGGGCGCAAGCCUGAUGCAGCGACGCCGCGUGAGGGAUGACGGCCUUCGGGUUGUAAACCUCUUUCAGCACCGACGAAGCGCAAGUGACGGUAGGUGCAGAAGAAGGACCGGCCAACUACGUGCCAGCCGCCGCGGUAA
rnacentral:rRNA from 1 species